CCAAUCUCACCAAGUGCGGUAAACUCAUUUUGCGGUAACCUACCCCAAAACGAAUCUCACCACUGCCGUAAUUUUUUAUGUUACCGCAUCGAAAUAACCCCAUGGGAUAGCUUCGGUUUUACUGCAAAUUCUUCAUGUGCGCAGCUGCUCACGGCCCGAAAGCAAGUAAACAAACCAAACAAUCAGCUGAUUGCCCCCAAAUGUCGGACAAAAAUUACUGCAGACAUUUGUGCCGUAAUCUCUAAAUUUUAUACUAAUUGUGAGCAAGAAUCAACAAUUAAAGAUGUAAAAAGAACUUUAUAAGAAAGAAAAGAAAUAAGUUUCUUUUUUAAGAUUAUUUUUAUUGCAGCCUGCGCCACCUAUGCUUCCUAUUUGCAGUACCCAAAACAGCAUGUAGAUGUCGCCCGUGAGUCUUGGAAACUGAGGUGCCGCUUGGAAAGAAGAAACACGCUCUCGUUGCCAUGGCGACAAAACAAUUGCGUUCUUUAUAUGGCGCCGGCGUGAUUAGCAGCUUUUCUACCAAUCCGAAGCGUCGAAAAAUGGGGUUCUUUUGCAGGAUUUGCACAAAAUGCGGUAAAUUACAGCAUGGGGCAGUUUGGGUUGGCGAGAUUGGAUUAUUUGCUUGGGGUUAUUUCGGUGCGGUAACUUACCGCAACCCCAAACGAGUUUACUGCACUUGGUGAGAUUGGGCCCAUCCUUUCAUCAUGAAGACCGCCGUCGUUCUCGCCUGCCUGCUGGUGGCUGUCGCUGCCAGGCCCCAGUUCGGAUUGGGCACUGGUCUUGGAACUGUCGGAACUCUUGGAACCGGCCGUCUCACCACGGGCGGUUUGGGCACAGGCCUCGGACUCGGCACAGGCCUGGGAGUCGGCGGACUCGGCACAGGCCUCGGUGUCGGUGGACUCGGCACAGGACUCGGACUCGGCACAGGCCUCGGUGUCGGUGGCACUCGGGUCACUACUAGCCAGACGACUUUCGGCAACACUUUCGGGGUGGGUCGCUAAUCCACAGAUUCUGAGUGCAUACUUGAAGAGUACACUUAUGUACACCUUUUCGGAACCAUGCGAUGUCAGUCUCGUGGAAGUUUUUCAUUGAAGGAAACAGUGUGACUGUAUAUCGUUUGCUCAUUGCUGUGCAUUACUUGUUGUCAUUUCAUAAUAAAUAUGCAAUUU